rnacentral:rRNA from 1 species
AUUGAACGCUGGCGGCAGGCCUAACACAUGCAAGUCGAACGAGUGGCGGACGGGUGAGUAAUGUCUGGGAAACUGCCCGAUGGAGGGGGAUAACUACUGGAAACGGUAGCUAAUACCGCAUACCAUCGGAUGUGCCCAGAUGGGAUGAGCGAGUAGGUGGGGUAACGGCGCACCUAGGCGACGAUCCCUAGCUGGUCUGAGAGGAGUACCAUCCAAACUGUAACUGAGACACGGUCCAUACUCCUACGCGAGGCAGCAGUGGGGAAUAGUGCACAAUGGGCGCAAUCCUGAUCCAGCCAUUCCGCGUGUAUGAAGAAGGCCUUCGGGGUGUAAAGUACUUUUAUCGAGGAGGCGUUACUCGCAGAAGAAGCACCGGCUAACUCCGUGCCAGCAGCCGCGGUAAUUC